UACGUAGGUGGCAAGCGUUAUCCGGAAUUAUUGGGCGUAAAGCGCGCGCAGGUGGUUUCUUAAGUCUGAUGUGAAAGCCCACGGCUCAACCGUGGAGGGUCAUUGGAAACUGGGAGACUUGAGUGCAGAAGAGGAAAGUGGAAUUCCAUGUGUAGCGGUGAAAUGCGUAGAGAUAUGGAGGAACACCAGUGGCGAAGGCGACUUUCUGGUCUGUAACUGACACUGAGGCGCGAAAGCGUGGGGAGGCAAAC
rnacentral:rRNA from 1 species